rnacentral:rRNA from 1 species
GGCAUGAAUUAUCUAUAAGCAGUUAAUGGAUUUAUAAAUAAAUAAAGUAUUAUAAGGCUUUAGUAGGAUUACUGAAAAAAUUUUUUUAGAUAUAGUUUAAUAGUAUUGUAAAAGAAAAUUUAGCUUUAUUAAUAAGAAAAAUUAAAAUUUUGUACCUUGUGUCUCAGGGUUUGUCAAAAAAUAGGUAAGUUUUUACUUUUCUCGAAUUUGAAAGGGCUAUUUAACUAUAGAUUUUAUUGUGGCAAAAAUAUUUUUAAUUGUUAAAUAGUGAUGAAACGUUAAUCGAUUUUAAUUAUAUCUAGUUCUUUAAGAAAAAAAUUUAAUUUUUUCUGGUUUUAGUAUUUUUUUACAUUUUUAGGAAAAUAAUAGGCUGAAAUAAUGACUUAGGGGUUGAGCUUUAAGUUAAAUUUAUACAAUAAGAUUUUAUUAUUAGUAGUUAAUUAGAAAGAUUUGAAGUUUCUACUUAAGUGAUUUAUCUCUUGAUUAAUAGAUUUUAAGAUUUUUUACAAUUAUUUAUAUUUUUUAUUGAAGUUUAGGCUUAAAUUUAUUUAGUUUAGUAAAAAUGAUAAAAUUAGUAUAUAUUUUUUUAUAUAUUAGGGUAAUUUGAAGGUUAAGUUAAGGAAUUCGGCAAAUUUAUUUCUCACCUGUUUAAUAAAAACAUGUCUUUUUGAGUAUAAUUUAAAGUCUGGCCUGCCCAAUGAUUUAUUUAAUGGCCGCGGUAAACUGACCGUGCAAAGGUAGCAUAAUCACUAGUUUUUUAAUUGAAAGCUUGAAUGAAAGGUUUGAUGAAGAAAUAACUGUCUCAACUUAAAUUUUUUAGAAUUUUAUUAUUUUGUAAAAAGGCUAAAAUUGUUAUGAAAGACGAGAAGACCCUAUAGAGUUUUAUAAUUUAAACAGAGAGGGUAAUUAGUAUAAAUUUCUUUAUUUGUUUAAAUUAUUUGGUUGGGGUGAUUGAAAUAAUUUAAUAAACUUUUUUUGCUGGAAAACAUAGAUUUAUGAAUAGUUGAUCCUUUUAAAAGAUUAUAAGAAAAAAUUACCUUAGGGAUAACAGCGUUAUUUUUCUUGAGAGUUCUCAUCGAAAGAAGAGUUUGCGACCUCGAUGUUGGAUUAAAAUUUAGGCUUGGUGUAGAGGCUAAGCUUUUAGGUCUGUUCGACCUUUAAAAUUUUACAUGAUCUGAGUUUAGACCGGCGUGAGCCAGGUUGGUUUCUAUCUUUAUAUAAAUAAUAAUUUUUAGUACGAAAGGACCAAAAUUAUACUAAAUUAGUUUGUAUUUGAAUAUUAGUAUUUCUUUAACUUGCAAGUAGGAAACUUAAAAUUUUUUUGUAGUUUUUGACUAAGGAAUAUUGAUAAUGAAAUAUUUAGUUGAUAUUGUAAUUAAUUUAUCUUGAUUAAUUUGUGAGCUAGUAUUUUAUUAGAUUUUGGUUAUAAUUUUUUUUAGUACGAAAUGCAGAGAAGCUUUAACUUUAUUGGAUCGG